CGCAGCAUUUGGGUUAGUCCGUAAGAGCGCUUCUCCUUGUCCCUAAUUGCCAGCACGUAAUUUCGGGAACUCUAGGGAAACUGCCGGUGACAACCCGGAGGAAGGUGGGGACAACUUCAGGUCUUCAUGGCCCUUACGGCCUGGGCUACACACGUGCUACAAUGGGCGGUACAAAGGGUUGCAAACCCGCGAGGGGAAGCAAAUCCCUUAAAACCGUUCGUAUUCCGGAUUGAAUUCUGCACCUCGACUCCAUGAAGUCGGAAUCGCUAGUAAUCGCAAAUCAGAACGUCCCGGUGAAUACGUUCCCGGGCCUUGUACACACCGCCCUUAAGCGGCG
rnacentral:rRNA from 1 species